AUGAAGUCCCACACCAAUACCACGAUUCCACCUUCCGUCGUGAGGAUCUUCAAGAAGGAUGUGGGAGUGACGACCGUGAUGUUGGUAGGCCGCGACCUCGGCUGGCAGCUAGCGAGGGACAAGCCCGUGGUCAAGCUCGACUGCCUGCACUACCUCUUCAAGGUGCCGGACAAGGACGGCGUGCACCUCAACAACGGCGUGAUGACCCUGGUGCACGUCGGCCGCGAGUUCGGUUGGCUGCUGGUAAGGAACGAGACCGUGAUCAAGCUCGACCGCCUGCAUUACCUCUUCAAGCUGCCAGACAAGGACGGCGUGCUCCCCAACUACGGCGUUGUCGAAGCCACGCUCCUGCCAUCCCUCGAUGUGCUUCUCAAGUCUGACUCUUGCUUGUCCGCGCCUUCUAGGGUAUCAAGGCCGCCCCCAUCGGCGUCGGCAUCGCGGGUGGACAGAAACAACGGCAUGCUCGCCAAGGCCAUCGCCGCGGGCACCAGCCACCCCAUCAAAGGCAUCUUCAUGUGCAACGAGGCCUACUGCAGCCCGGUACAGACUGCUCUGGGUGUGGAAGCGGUCAGAGAUGACAUAGAAGAUGAGCAAGACGAUGAUGGACAUGGUCAUCUGGGUGACAGGGUCUAUGGCUGCUCCGCUGCUUCUUUCCAGGCAAGGGAAAGCCCUCCUCGCCACCGCACUCGGGAGGAUGUUCUGGCCUCUCUCGACGCCAUCAGUGAGUACAGUAGUGCCCUGGAAACACUGAUGGGACCUUGGCGUAACGAGCAAAUCUUUUAG
rnacentral:rRNA from 1 species